rnacentral:tRNA from 5 species
AGAGUCAACUAACGGUAAGUUUUCAGACUCAUAAUCUGAUUAUGCAGGUUCAACUCCUGCCUCUACCUAUAGAAU